UCGGCUUAGAGUUUGAUCGUGGCUCACGAUGAACGCUAGCGACAGGCCUAACACAUGCAAGUCGAGGGGUAGGAGUAGCAAUACUUCACGACCGGCGCACGGGUGAGUAACACGUAUGCAACCUACCUUCUACCGGGGGAUAGCCCGUUGAAAGACGGAUUAAUACCGCAUAAUACAUUUUUCGCAUGGAAAAAUGUUAAAGAUUUAUUAGUAGAAGAUGGGCAUGCGUUCCAUUAGCCAGUUGGUGAGGUAACGGCUCACCAAAGCAACGAUGGAUAGGGGAACUGAGAGGUUUAUCCCCCACACUGGUACUGAGACACGGACCAGACUCCUACGGGAGGCAGCAGUGAGGAAUAUUGGUCAAUGGACGAGAGUCUGAACCAGCCAAGUCGCGUGAAGGAUGACUGCCCUCGGGUUGUAAACUUCUUUUGUAUGGGAGUAAAAAAGUCUACGUGUAGACUAUUGCAAGUACCAUACGAAUAAGCAUCGGCUAACUCCGUGCCAGCAGCCGCGGUAAUACGGAGGAUGCGAGCGUUAUCCGGAUUUAUUGGGUUUAAAGGGUGCGUAGGCGGGCUUUUAAGUCAGCGGUGAAAGUUUGCGGCUCAACCGUAAAAUUGCCGUUGAAACUGGGAGUCUUGAGUAUAUCUGAAGUA
rnacentral:rRNA from 1 species